rnacentral:rRNA from 1 species
AACGAACGCUGGCGGCAGGCCUAACACAUGCAAGUCGAGCGAACCCUUCGGGGUUAGCGGCGGACGGGUUAGUAACGCGUGGGAAUAUACCCUUUGGUACGGAAUAGCCUCGGGGAAACUGAGAGUAAUACCGUAUGUGCCCUUCGGGGGAAAGAUUUAUCGCCAAAGGAUUAGCCCGCGUUGGAUUAGGUAGUUGGUGGGGUAAUGGCCUACCAAGCCUACGAUCCAUAGCUGGUUUGAGAGGAUGAUCAGCAACACUGGGACUGAGACACGGCCCAGACUCCUACGGGAGGCAGCAGUGGGGAAUCUUAGACAAUGGGCGCAAGCCUGAUCUAGCCAUGCCGCGUGGACGAUGAAGGCCUUAGGGUUGUAAAGUCCUUUCAGAUGGGAAGAUAAUGACGGUACCAUCAGAAGAAGCCCCGGCUAACUCCGUG